rnacentral:rRNA from 1 species
GGGGGAGUAUUGUCGCAAGGCUGAAACUUAAAGGAAUUGAUGGAAAGGCACCACCAGGAGUGGAGCUUGCGGCUUAAUUUGACUAAACACGGGGAAACUUAGCAGGUCCAUACAUAGUAAGGAUUGGCAAACUUAAAGCUUUUUCUUGAUUCUAUGGGUGGUGGUGCAUGGCCCUUCUUAGUUGGUGGAGCUAUUUGACUGGUUAAUUCUGUUAACGAACGAGACCUUAGCCUAAUAACUAUCUAUGUGGUGGUAUCCCUUCGCGGCAGCUUCUUAGAGGGACUAGGUCCUCUUAGGAUGCGGAAGUUUGAGGCAAUAACACGUUUGUGACGCCCUUAGAUGUUUUCGGCCGGACGCGUGCUACACGGAUGUAUUCAACGAGCUUAUAGCCUUGGUCGACACGGUUGGGUAAUCUUUGAAAUUUCAUAGUGAUGGGGAUAAGUCAUUGCAAUUGUUGGUCUUCAACGAGGAAUACCUAUUAAGCGCGAGUCAUCAGCUCGCGUUGACUAUGUCCAUGCCCUUUGUACACACCGCCCGUCGCUCCUACCGAUUGAAUGAUUGGGUGAAAUGUUUAGAUUACGGCGACAUGGGCGGUUCAAUGCCCGCAACAUCGUGAGUAGUCCAUUGAACCUUAUCAUUUAGAGGAAGGAGAAGUCGUAACAAGGUUUUUGUAGUUGAACCUGUGGAAG